AGGAGAGGAGGCUGACACACAUCCAGAACCUUUUAGUCUGCUUUCCUCACUGGACAUUUUGUUUGGUGUUAUUGGCUUGACUUUAAAAUCCCUUGUGAACUUUCAUUAAUCUUGGAGGACACAAUCUAAUUGGUCAUUUGCCCCAUAAUUAAAUAAAGUACCUACAAGGAACCACAAUUAAGGAGCAGCUG